rnacentral:rRNA from 1 species
AUAUGGGGCAAGCGUUAUUCGGAAUUACUAGGCGUAAAGCGCGUGUAGGCGGGUACGUAAGUCUGCCGUGAAAUCUCCCGGCUUAACUGGGAGGGGUCGGCGGAAACUACGUGUCUAGAGAUGGGUAGGGGGUACCGGAAUCCCUGGUGUAGCGGUGAAAUGCGUAGAUAUCAGGAGGAACACCGAUGGCGAAAGCAGGUACCUGGGCCUUGACUGACGCUGAGACGCGAAAGCUGGGGUAGCAAACAGGAUUAGAUACCCUGGUAGUCCCAGCUGUAAACGAUGAUAACUAGGUGCGGGAGGUAUCGACCCCGUCCGCGCCGACGCUAACGCAUUAAGUUAUCCGCCUGGGGAGUACGGCCGCAAGGUUA